rnacentral:lncRNA from 13 species
AUGGAACUUCCCGGGAGAAGUCGAGUAUUUCCCUGUGACUCCAUGGAAGCCCGGCAGCUCCGGCCACACCGAUCCCGCACCGCUAGAUGGCAAUUGCGGUGUGUGCAUGGAGGGGACGGACCUGACGGAGGAUUCCCGCAGCCGGGGCUGGGUAUGAAUGAGGGGCUGCCCACGGCUGUCCUCCCCACCUCCGGCUCCUCCUGCCGCCUCCAGCCUCCAGGUGCUCUGGGUUCACUGGGAGAAGAGGCUGGAGCCGCUGGACUGGCGGCAGGGUGGGCAUCGCCGCUGGGAUCGCUCUGGCCGGUCUCCAGUAGAACAGGAGGGAGGGAGGAAGGGCACAGGAAAACCUCUGGGACCAGGGCACCUGGUGGACUGCUGGCAGACUCAGCCCAACACCGUGGGGUCACCACCUGUGCCACUUAUGCCUGGCGCUCCUGGUCACUGCCAGCCCUCCAAACAAAGGUUGCCAUCCCCCAAGUCCUCUCCUGUGGGUCCUGUGGUGCCUGCAGUAUGAAACGUUAACCCCUGCCUUCCCUUCUCUCGGCAGCCCGCCCUCAUCAGCACUUCCCUCUCCAGACUGAGAUGGAAAUAGUUGCAGCUCUGGACAGUUGAUUAUUUAAAGCUGUCGGGAGUGUUUAAUUUAACCCUGGAUUCAUCACUCCCAGCUUGUUUCCAUCCACCAGGCACCCGAGCUCCCCCUCUCCGUGUAAACUCUGCCGAGCUCCUCACCUCCAGCAGAUCUGUUUCCCUGUGUCCCUGCGCUGACUGGCACAGCAAGGGAUGUCCCUGUGCCAGGGGCUGUGGGCACAGGUGGCUCAGGGGGCUGUGCUGGGAUUUUACCUGGGUGCCAGGAGGUGGAUCUGCCUCACCACUGCCUGGGCACGAUGGGAGGGAGCCCCUCUAUGCUCAUGAAAGAACGGCAGCCACGGGAAGUGUUUCUUUCUGGAGGUUAUCCUGUGGCAGUUUUGUUCUUUCCUUGUCUGGUGCAAGACCUUUCAGCAAAACCCUCACUUUCCUGCUCCUGUGCCCAGCUCUGCCAGGGCUCUGGGAUCCUCCUGGGCAUGGCUGUGGCUCUUGCUGCAAUCAGCUCUGCUUUUGGCAUUCCCAGGGCAGGAGAUGGAGCGCUGGUAUAGCCGAGUUGUACCCGGGAGCGCAGCCCCAGCCCCUGCACCAGGCAUGUGAAGAAUCCCUCAAGCUCACCAUGUGUGAGCGUGUCCUGAGGCAGGAGCAGUGCCCUGCCUGCCAUCCACAGAAUCCCAGCCUGCCCUGGCAUUCCCUGGGUCAUGAAAGAUCCCUCCAAGUCUGCCUCAGCCCAAAGUUAAGCCUUGCACAGACCCAGCUCCAUUUAUAGAAACCUUCAAUUAGAGAACAGCAUUUUCCCAAGUCCUCCAGCAACACAACACACUUUGGCAAAGGAAAAAAAAAAUAUCCCCGUCAAAUCCCAGCCCCGUCCUUGUGAUGACCCUUGGGACAGCAGUGCUCGCUCGGGGCACGGCUGUGAGCCCACAGGACAGCUCGGGGACAGCACUGCAGCUGCUGAGCAAGGGAAGAGCUGAGACGACUGGAGCAGCUCAUCAUUGCUGCCUGCUGGGGAGGUGUUUGUGGGAGCAAGGGCAGCACUGCCUGUGAAUCCCCCUGUGGCUGAUGGGUUCCUAACAGAGAACCUCCCCUCUCCACAAUACAGAGCAAUUUGAACCUGACUAAACCCAUCAUGGUUAUGGGGUGGGUUUUUUCCCUUCCCUAGGCAAUGGCUGACAUGUUGAAAAGUGCCCAGGAAGGGCUGGCUGGGUUGAGAGAGCAGCCCCAAAUUAAAGAGAGACAGAGAACUGCACAGCCACCACCCUGAGGUCACAUCCAUGUCCCAGCGUGGGGCCAGGUCUCCUGGUACAGGGGAAGGACCUGGAGCAACAGCAGGUUGUGCUGACCAGAGCGAGACCCAGGCAGUAGAGAAGGCAGGGAAGGGGCAAGAAAGGAGCUGCACCCCAGCCCAAACACACGUUGCUGCUGGAAGGGAGAGAAAGCCCAACUCCAUCAGCCUGAAACCUCCUCCCUAGGCAGAGCUGAGCACUCCUUCUUGUGCAAGGCAGUUUGAAAGACUUGCCUCCACCAUCCCUCCCACAUCCCUUCACUGGGAUGGCAGGAAUCCCCUGCUCCUUGUGCCAAGAGCCUCUGGCCAGGGAUGAGCCAAAAAGCUCAUUUAAAAUCUUUCAGUCUUUGGACUGGAAGAACUUAAUAUGCAGGAAGAGGGGGAGUUAGAGCUGCCAUGUAGGGACCAGGUUUUUUAUGAAGUGGAGAAAAAGCAUCUAAAUAGCCUGGAUUAACUGGUUAGAGCUGGCAGGGCAGCCCUGCUCCUGGCAGGAGCCAUGGGAGCUGCUGGGCAAGGCUGUGAACCCCUGCACACCUCCAAAAGGGGCUAUGUGUUAAAGAGCCCUUCCAAUCCACAGCACGUUGGAGCCAGCAGAUGCUGGUGGCCUCAGAGAGCUCUGUGGUGACCAGGAAUUUGCAGACAUCCUGGCCAGGGAUGUGUCAUGCACACACAGAGCCACAGAUGAUAUUGGGGGGAUGACAGAAAUGGCGUUUAUGGAUGGUGCUCCAAAACAUGAAUUCCCCUUUCAGUGAAAGGCAUGAGAUUUAACCCCAAGCUGAGAUCAGAUGAAUAUUAGGGAUCCUCCACCUGGCUCUGCCAAACAUUGGGGUCUGAGCAGACACUGAGCAGAGGAUGCCCAAGCUCUGAGAGCCUGUUGGAGAGGGUACUACUGCCCUCAUGUCAGUCACCUUCAGGAUGCCCAGAUCCCAGUGCUCCCAGGUACCAGGUGCUGUGGGCAUGCUGGCAUCACCCCACACACCUCCCCUAGGCAGGCUGGAAUAGCUGGCCUGUGAAUUUCCUGGACAGGGAAUGUGCUGGAGCUCCCGGGGGGUGGAAGGCAAGUGGGUGUCCCAGCCACAGCUGCCUUCCCAGUGCCCACACUGGUGCAGUGAGCACAGCUGCAGCCU